CUAGGGAACUUCCCCUCGGACUUUUUUGUGCUUCGUCAAACUGAGCCUGUCUGCUUUCAAAGAUUCACCCUCGCUCGUCAUUGGGAGCACUGCAGCUUGCGGAUACUGCGGGAAAUCCUCUUAAACUCGCGCUGUCCCUUCUGCCAACGCCUCAGCGAGGUGAUGACCAGAUGGCCGUCCAUCUUCUGGCCCAUGACCAGGCUUGCAGUGAGGGGCCCUGAGUCAAGUCUGAUACCCCCAACCCCUGUCUCUGACACAACUGGUGAAGCACUGGGGGUCCUCAUGGUCAGUGAGGACAGCGAUGGAGAGAAAGAGGGAGUCAUGGCUGAAGGGGUGGAUAAACACCAGGCAGGUGGAGGUUAAAGCAGGUUGUCCUCUGUCUGAAACCACAACCUGCAGCUUCCUCCCAGAGAAACCUGC